rnacentral:tRNA from 1 species
GGGGUUGUAGCUCAGUGGUAGAGCACUUGCUUAAUGUGUGAGGCACUGGGUUUAAUCCUCAGCACCACA